rnacentral:rRNA from 1 species
UACAGAGGGGGCAAGCGUUGUUCGGAAUUACUGGGCGUAAAGGGCGCGUAGGCGGCCUUCUAAGUCAGACGUGAAAUCCCUCGGCUCAACCGAGGAACUGCGCCUGAUACUGCUUGGCUUGAGGUCCGGAGGGGAGAGUGGAAUUCCCGGUAGAGCAGUGAAAUGCGUAGAGAUCGGGAAGAACGCCGGCGGCGAAAGCGACUCUCUGGUCGGAAUCUGACGCUGAGGUGCGAAAGCUAGGGGAGCAAACGGG